rnacentral:rRNA from 1 species
GUCCACGCCGUAAACGAUGAAUACUUGGUGUUGGAGGUAUUGACCCCUCCAGUGCCGAAGCUAACGCGUUAAGUAUUCCGCCUUGGAAGUACGGUCGCAAGAUUAAAACUCAAAGAAAUUGACGGGGGCCCGCACAAGCGGUGGAGCAUGUGGUUCAAUUCGAUGCAACGCGAAGAACCUUACCUGGGUUUGACAUGUAUUGGAAGACUACCAGAAAUGGUGUCGCCUUCGGGCCGAUACACAGGUGCUGCAUUGCUGUCGU